AGAGUUUGAUCCUGGCUCAGAUUGAACGCUGGCGGUAUGCUUAACACAUGCAAGUCGAACGGAAACGAUACUAGCUUGCUAGUAGGCGUCGAGUGGCGGACGGGUGAGUAACGCGUAGGAAUCUACCUGAUAGUGGGGGAUAGCCCGAAGAAAUUCGGAUUAAUACCGCAUAAUCUAUUCGUAGUAAAGUGGGGGACUUUCGAGCCUCACGCUAUCAGAUGAGCCUGCGUAAGAUUAGCUAGUUGGUAGGGUAAAAGCCUACCAAGGCGACGAUCUUUAGCUGGUCUGAGAGGAUGAUCAGCCACAUCGGGACUGAGACACGGCCCGAACUCCUACGGGAGGCAGCAGUGGGGAAUAUUGGACAAUGGGGGCAACCCUGAUCCAGCAAUACCGCGUGUGUGAAGAAGGCCUGAGGGUUGUAAAGCACUUUCAAUUGUGAAGAAAAGCUAGUGGUUAAUAGCCAUUAGCCUUGACGUUAACUUUAGAAGAAGCACCGGCUAACUCCGUGCCAGCAGCCGCGGUAAUACGGAGGGUGCAAGCGUUAAUCGGAAUUACUGGGCGUAAAGCGUGCGUAGGCGGUUUAUUAAGUCAGAUGUGAAAGCCCCGGGCUUAACCUGGGAACUGCAUUUGAAACUGGUCAACUAGAGUAUGGUAGAGGAAAGUGGAAUUUCUGGUGUAGCGGUGAAAUGCGUAGAUAUCAGAAGGAACAUCAAUGGCGAAGGCAACUUUCUGGACCAAUACUGACGCUGAGGUACGAAAGCGUGGGUAGCAAACAGGAUUAGAUACCCUGGUAGUCCACGCCGUAAACGAUGAUAACUAGCCGUUGGGGGGAUUUACCCCUUAGUGGCGAAGCUAACGCGUUAAGUUAUCCGCCUGGGGAGUACGGCCGCAAGGUUAAAACUCAAAGGAAUUGACGGGGACCCGCACAAGCGGUGGAGCAUGUGGUUUAAUUCGAUGCAACGCGAAGAACCUUA
rnacentral:rRNA from 1 species